AUUGAACGCUGGCGGCAGGCUUAACACAUGCAAGUCGAGCGAGCGGCGGACGGGUGAGUAAUGUCUGGGAAACUGCCUGAUGGAGGGGGAUAACUACUGGAAACGGUAGCUAAUACCGCAUACCAUCAGAUGUGCCCAGAUGGGAUUAGCUAGUAGGUGGGGUAAUGGCUAACCUAGGCGACGAUCCCUAGCUGGUCUGCGAGGGUGAACAGCCAAACUGGAACUGAGACACGGUCCAGACGCCUACGGGAGGCAGCAGUGGGGAAUAUUGCACAAUGGGCGGAAGCCUGAUGCAGCCAUGACGCGUGUGUGAAGAAGGCCUUCGGGUUGUAAAGCACUGUCAGCGAGGAGGCGUUACUCACAGAAGAAGCAACGGCUAACUCCGUGCCAGCCGCCGCGGUAAUAC
rnacentral:rRNA from 1 species